rnacentral:rRNA from 1 species
CGCGUGGGAACCUGCCCUGUGGUAGGGGAUAACUGCGGGAAACUGCAGCUAAUACCCUAUGUGUCCUAUGGGAGAAAGAUUUAUCGCCAUAGGAGGGGCCCGCGUCGGAUUAGGUAGUUGGCGGGGUAACGGCCCACCAAGCCUGCGAUCCGUAGCUGGUCUGAGAGGAUGAUCAGCCACACUGGGACUGAGACACGGCCCAGACUCCUACGGGAGGCAGCAGUAGGGAAUAUUGGACAAUGGGCGCAAGCCUGAUCCAGCAAUGCCGCGUGAGUGAAGAAGGCCUUAGGGUUGUAAAGC